rnacentral:rRNA from 1 species
AACGACUCUCGGCAACGGAUAUCUCAGCUCUCGCAUCGAUGAAGAACGUAGCGAAAUGCGAUACUUGGUGCGAAUUGCAGAAUCCCAUGAACCAUCGAGUUUUUGAACGCAAUUGCGCCCUAGGCCACYAGGCCAAGGGCACACCUGCCUGGGCAUCACGU